UCGUGCUGGCUGGGGGUUUAGCGGUCCCCUGUAACCCGUAUCGCUCUAGCGGGGGUAAUGACUGUCGGAGGACGCUUGCUAAGAGCGUGCCGUUGGCAACUUGGGGCGUAGAAACUUGGAUCCCCUGCAAUUCGCGAAGCGUGAAUGAGUCAGGUCCGAGAGGAAGCAGCUAUAAGCAUUUUCGCGGCUGUGUAGGGGGCAAUCUGGGUGGAGCUUCAUCCGCUGCCGGUGUGUCACUGGUGGGUGGACGAUGGCAGGUGCACGA
rnacentral:SRP_RNA from 1 species